rnacentral:rRNA from 1 species
AUUGAACACUGGCGGCAUGCUUUACACAUGCAAGUCGAACGGCAGCGCGGGCUUCGGCCUGGCGGCGAGUGGCGAACGGGUGAGUAAUACAUCGGAACGUGCCCAGUAGUGGGGGAUAGCUCGGCGAAAGCCGGAUUAAUACCGCAUACGACCUGAGGGUGAAAGCGGGGGAUCUUCGGACCUCGCGCUAUUGGAGCGGCCGAUGGCAGAUUAGCUAGUUGGUGGGGUAAAGGCCUACCAAGGCGACGAUCUGUAGCUGGUCUGAGAGGACGACCAGCCACACUGGGACUGAGACACGGCCCAGACUCCUACGGGAGGCAGCAGUGGGGAAUUUUGGACAAUGGGCGAAAGCCUGAUCCAGCAAUGCCGCGUGUGUGAUGAAGGCCUUCGGGUUGCAAAGCACUUUUGGCGGGAACGAAAAGGACUGUGCCAAUACCACGGUUCGAUGACGGUACCCGCAGAAUAAGCACCGGCUAACUACGUG